CUUUGGGAAACUGUUAGCAUGGCAGAGAGCUCUCCUUUCUUGCUAACAACAAACAUAGAAGACAACACAAACCACAACUUGGACACAGGGGGCAAACUCUACAACCUGAGGAGAAAUAUUAUAAUCCACUUCACAUCACAGAACAACUCAGUAUCUGCAGGACAAACCUGUUCAGGGUCCAUGACGUCAGUCAGGCCGUCCGGCGCAUGGCGGAGUUUCACGAGGGGAAAAAAAAAGGAGUAAAUGGCUCUGCAAGCGGCUGUCACUCUGAGGGCCAGCAUGGGACGAUCAGCGAUGAUGACGGGGGCGCGGACCUGUGUCAAGAUGCUGAACUCGGCUGUCAAUCAAACCACUCUGCCCUAUGGGAUGACAAAGAUGGGCCUCAAUGCUGCUCAAGAGAAAGAGGGGGAGAGAGAGCAGGAGAGAUGGAAAGGCAGGAGAAAAGGUCAGAGACAGACACGCAGACAUUGGGAGAGAGAUGUGAUUUAGUGAUUAAGUUGUUUGCGAGCUUGUUACUUAUUGUAUUUAGAAUUGCGAUGAUGUCAUUUGACUUUGUUUACGACAGAAACCCAAACCCACAUGUGAUUGUGUAACCUCGUGAAGUUUGCUCCAUUCUGUAACAGGCAGUGAAAAUUGCAACUAUUCACUUUUCAAAUUGGGCUUCACCAUGGAGCUGUCGGAGCUUGGGAAAAUUGAUGUCCCUCUCCUUAGUAGGCAAUACGACACUGUGUGAAUUUGUCAUUUGAUGGCGAGAAAGGCCCGUAUGAGUCAUCUUCCAGCUAUCUAGGACCAUAACCCCUCAGGCCUCAUGGGAACACAGAGGAAUGACCAGUACAUCAUAACACAGAAGAAAAAAAAAAUCCCACAGUCAGAAUUCACCAGAACUCCUGCAAGCUGUUUUCAAUUAGUGCUUGCUGAUUCUUAGUGUUGGUCUACCGCAUCAUUUCAAGUAAAUGCUGCUAUAACGUAGAGCCACAAUGUUUGGUUUGGCCAUAGGAAAAAUCUGUGCUUUUCCUUUCUCUUGUCAGUGGCAGCCACUGUAGAAGUCCUCAAACAUGAGCUUGUGUUGUAUCUGUCCUCCCGUUGUACUGCAGACAACGAUUUUGUUCUAAGUUUCACAGUGAUGUAAUGUUAUGCAAACGUAAUACAAAACCACCAGAUCAUAAAGAAUAUCAAAACUAAUAAAGAGAGCAAAAUGUG